rnacentral:misc_RNA from 1 species
CUGGUCUUAAAAGCAUUAGCUGAAUCUUGGUACGGGAUUGGUUCUACUCAGCGUGAUAAUUAUCUGACCGCUGAGGACAUCUUUCGGGAUGGCCAGACUUGUCCUCGAGUCGCUUCUAAUCUGGUUAACGAAAGCUUAAUUGCUUAGUUCCAUUUUUCAACUUUGACCUCGAAUCAGGCGGGACUACCCGCUGAACUUAA